rnacentral:lncRNA from 1 species
UUACUCGACUGGCUCUCCAAAUCAGAGGCAAAGGGUUUCAAAUGCUCCAUCUUGUAUAGGCUGUGGAAGACUGCCAUUGCUACAUUCAAUACCCGCCUUUACUUCAGACUCUCCAUCGCUGUCACUGUCGAUGGUUAUAACCACCGGCGACCGUGAAGUAUUAUCUCCAUGGAAAAGACUGAAUUCUAAAUUCUGGACUUGAAGACUGUCUAGAGUAAUGGGCUCUUGAAAGAGUCCUCCUCCUGUAUGAUGAUUCAUAGCCAUCUCUGUCCUUGUUUCUGCUGUAGACAGAGCGUGGAGAUGACGCCCGGCUAACAUCACUGUCACCUGAACUGUACGACUGCUCUUGCUCCUGAGUCUUCACUGUCUCCACUUUCUCAUAAGGGCCCAACUCCUCAGAAUCAGAAGACAGUUCAACAAGUUCCGGGGUCCUUUCAGCCAAUGGCUUAACAAACCCAACAAUGACACAAUUAUCUGACGAUGAAUCACUGUCAUUAUUGACAUCGUCAUUGGUCUGUACUCCUUGUAUCUGAGAUGUGGUUCCUCCAGAGACAAGCUCUUCAUCUGAACUGUCUGAAGAAUUUAAAAGGGAAGACACGCCAACAUGCACUUGCUCUGAACUUGAAUAAGAUGGUCCAGGAGUUUCAUCAUCCCACGGUGCCUGCCUAACAGUAGAUGCAUUCAUAUCUAGCUCUUGAGUUUCAGCCUCAUCUGGUGAUAUUGUAAUGACUGAAGAAUCUGAACGGCUGCCUUCUUCAGAUGAAGGAGGGCAAUCAUAAUUAGCAUGCUGGUCAAAAGCUGCCAUAUUGAAGGGAGAUCUAGCAAAACUGAUAAAUUCAUGUAUAAAAUGCUCAGUUCGAUUAAGCAAAAAUGGUCUUAAGUCAGACACAAAUGCCUGACUCUCCAAAUCAUAGCGAGUAACAUUACUCAUGAUGAUGUGCUGGACGAUAUUGACUAGCGAACCAUGGGCUCCAAAAAGCACAGUAAGUUCACGCUUUAACCAAGGAACUAAUCUGUGAAGGCAAGCUGGAUUUCUACGGAAGAACUCAGCUGAAAUAUCCCUGUAGCGGCCACCAUCUUCAAUACUUCUAACUCGAACACCAGCACGAUAAAGAGUUCGCCUGAAAUUAAUAAUAUCUUGUUCUUGAAUUUUCCGCAAAGAUCUCUCAUCUGUAGUAGUUGGCCCCCUUAAUGCCAUUUGUCUCAUAAAUUGAGGAAUGUCAACAUCUCUAGGUCUUGUCGAAAUGCCUAACCCUUCAAACAGCACUCCACUAUCUGGUGGCGUGGUUGUUCUCCUACUU